rnacentral:rRNA from 1 species
UACGUAGGGUGCGAGCGUUAAUCGGAAUUACUGGGCGUAAAGCGCGCGUAGACGGUUAUAUAAGUCGGGUGUGAAAGCCCCGGGCUCAACCUGGGAAUUGCACCUGAUACUGGUUUUCUAGAGUAUGGUAGAGGAUGGCGGAAUUUCCGGUGUAGCGGUGAAAUGCGUAGAUAUCGGAAGGAACACCAGUGGCGAAAGCGACUUCCUGGUCCAAUACUGACGUUCAUGUGCGAAAGCGUGGGGAGCAAACAGG